rnacentral:lncRNA from 1 species
UCCAAUCCCUCCUUUCAUGGAGGUUUGUUUUCCUCCUUUCAUGGAAUGUAUCAUGCUUCAAUGACGAAGAUUUCUUUCUUGCUUCAAUGAUGAAGCGUUUCUUUCAUCUCAUUCAAUGAAUUCUAAUAUGGUAUUAGAGCAGGGUGCUUCCUGCUGUGUUUUUUUUUUGAGAUUUAAUUCAUCUCAUUUUCUGUGUUUCUGCUCAAGUGAAAGCAGAUUUGUGAUCUCUUCUAUUUUGGCAUUUUACUGGUAUCAAAGUUGAUAAAAUCUGAAGAUAACUUUGGCUUCAAAUCAUCCACCAGUUCAAGGCUUCUUCUUUAGUUCAAUACCAACGGCAUGGUCUGUUUUUGGUCUUUUAUAUUCUGGUGUUCCAGAUUCUUUAAUUCUGUGUUCUCACAAGCAGCUGGAACGUAUAUGCUUCUUGAAUUUGUUUCGUAUUUUCUACAUCAUCAAUAUUAGUUGCCUUUUUUAUUCCGACCGGUAUCAAUUGCUCUUCUUAUGACACCAUUUACUGCCUUGGAGUUCUGAUUCUUCCUGUGUCGUUUGUACCAUAUGAAUGUUUUGAAAUUUCAUUGAUUUGAGUAUGUAAAAUUGAACUGCUACUGAUAAAGCUGAUGCUACUAUGGACGAAGAAGAAGAUGGGGCUUUGGAUGAUUAUGCAUAAGUUUUGAUGUGCACACAAGGUGUUUGAAAAAAAUGUCCAGUAGAGAUCUUCUUUAGCAACUUCCCACCAAUCAGCUGAAGAAGGAAUGGAUUCCGGUUUGAGCUCAAAUUUAUGAUGUUCAGGCUCUUCAGAAUUCCUAUUGUCAUCACACUAAUCUUUGACAUUGUUUGCUCCCUUGUUUGCAUCUGUGAAGAAGUAGUCCAAAACUUGUUUUGCAUCCAAUCGUCAACAUGGAUCUUCCAAGUCCAUCUUGAGGGAGGUGUGUUAGAACAGAAUAUUCCUUCCAGCUCACCACAUUCUAGAGACUUUAAGAUAAGUUCAGUCGUCUGUUAUGUAGUUAGAUAGAUUGUUAGAUUUUACUCUAUAAAUACAGCACCAUGCAAGCAUUAAUAGAUUAUUGGAUUGUAGUGUCUUCCAAUCGCUCCUUCCAUGGAGGUUUCUCUCCUCCUUCAUGGAGUGUUUGCUUCCUCCUAUCAUGGAGUGUUCAUUUUCUCCUUUCAUGGAGUGUAAUACAUCUUCUCCUUCAUGGAGUUUAAUACAUUGUUUUGUCAUUCAAUAAAUUCUAAUAUGAAGCUGUGACUUUUUCAUGUGUUCAAAAAUGAAUUAAGGUAAGGUGGGUUGUGGUGUGGAAUCGGGUGGGUGGGUGGAGG